rfam:Marine metagenome 1096626393951, whole genome shotgun sequence.
GGGUGUUGAAAAGUCCAGAUACUGUAGGGGCCAGCUCCGGUUCGGGGCUGAUCCUGUC